AGUGAACGCUGGCGGCAGGCCUAACACAUGCAAGUCGAGCGGCAGCGCGGGGGCAACCCUGGCGGCGAGCGGCGGACGGGUGAGGAAUUCGUCGGAAUCUGCCUGUUUGUGGGGGAUAACGUCGGGAAACGUACGCUAAUACCGCAUACGUCCUACGGGAGAAAGUGGGGGACCUCAGGACCUCACGCUAACAGAUGAGCCUACGUCGGAUUAGCUAGUUGGUGGGGUAAAGGCCCACCAAGGCGACGAUCGGUAGCUGGUCUGAGAGGAUGAUCAGCCACACUGGAACUGAGACACGGCCCAGACUCCUACGGGAGGCAGCAGUGGGGAAUAUUGGACAAUGGGCGAAAGCCUGAUCCAGCCAUGCCGCGUGUGUGAAGAAGGCCUUCGGAUUGUAAAGCACUUUUGUUCGGGAGGAAGGGCAGUGAGUUAAUACCUUGGGGGUAUGACGUUACCAAAAGAAUAAGCACCGGCUAACUUCGUG
rnacentral:rRNA from 1 species